rnacentral:rRNA from 1 species
GACGAACGCUGGCGGCGUGCUUAACACAUGCAAGUCGAACGCUGAAGACCUGGCUUUUGUUGGGUUGGAUGAGUGGCGAACGGGUGAGUAACACGUGAGUAACCUGCCCUCUUCUUUGGGAUAACGCCCGGAAACGGGUGCUAAUACUGGAUAUUCACUGAUCUUCGCAUGGGGGUUGGUGGAAAGGUUUGUUCUGGUGGGGGAUGGGCUCGCGGCCUAUCAGCUUGUUGGUGGGGUGAUGGCCUACCAAGGCUUUGACGGGUAGCCGGCCUGAGAGGGUGACCGGUCACAUUGGGACUGAGAUACGGCCCAGACUCCUACGGGAGGCAGCAGUGGGGAAUAUUGCACAAUGGGCGAAAGCCUGAUGCAGCGACGCCGCGGGAGGGAUGGAGGCCUUCGGGUUGUAAACCUCUUUCGCUCAUGGUCAAGCCGCAACUGUGGGUUGUGGUGAGGGGAGUGGGGAAAGAAGCGCCGGCUAACUACGU